AGGGUUGUAGCUAAGUGGUAGAGCAUCUGCCUUGAAUGCAGAAGAUCCCAGAUUUUUGAUUCCUUGGCAUCUCCA